rnacentral:rRNA from 1 species
CAAUAGCGUAUAUUAAAGUUGUUGCGGUAAAAAAGCUCGUAGUUGGAUUUCUGUUGAGAGCGACCGGUCCAUACUAUGUAUGCGUAUCUGGCUUGCUCUCGGCAUCCUCUCGAUAGACGUUACUGCGCUUGAUUGCGUGGUGCGGAUCUCGGGACUUUUACUUUGAGGAAAUUAGAGUGUUCACGGCAGGCUUUCGCCAGAAUACAUUAGCAUGGAAUAAUACUAUAGGAUCUUGGUUCUAUUUUGUUGGUUUCUAGAAUUGAGAUAAUGAUUAAUAGGGACAAUUGGGGGCAUUCGUAUCAACACGUCAGAGGUGGAAUUCUUGGAUUGUGUUGCGACGAACUACUGCGAAAGCAUUUGCCAAGGAUGUUUUCAUUGA